AUUGAACGCUGGCGGCAGGCCUAACACAUGCAAGUCGAGCGGUAGAGAGGAGCUUGCUUCUCUUGAGAGCGGCGGACGGGUGAGUAAUGCCUAGGAAUCUGCCUGGUAGUGGGGGAUAACGUUCGGAAACGGACGCUAAUACCGCAUACGUCCUACGGGAGAAAGUGGGGGAUCUUCGGACCUCACGCUAUCAGAUGCGCCUAGGUCGGAUUAGCUAGUUGGUGAGGUAAAGGCUCACCAAGGCGACGAUCCGUAACUGGUCUGAGAGGAUGAUCAGUCACACUGGAACUGAGACACGGUCCAGACUCCUACGGGAGGCAGCAGUGGGGAAUAUUGGACAAUGGGCGCAAGCCUGAUCCAGCCAUGCCGCGUGUGUGAAGAAGGUCUUCGGAUUGUAAAGCACUUUAAGUUGGGAGGAAGGUCAGUAGCUUAAUACGUUGCUGAUUUGACGUUACCGACAGAAUAAGCACCGGCUAACUCUGUGCCAGCCGCCGCGGUAAGAC
rnacentral:rRNA from 1 species